rnacentral:tRNA from 1 species
AGUAAAAUGGCUGAAUUAGGUGAUAGAUUGUAAAUUUAUUUAUAAAUUAAUUUUUUUUUUACUA